UCACCGUCACCGCUCUGGCCUCGAUGUCCCCCCUCUCCGCUCCCCUACCCUCGCCGCUCCGCCCUUCUCAUCGCGGUCUCCGCCUAGGCGCCGCUGCAAGCUCUCACCUCCCCCUCUCUCGCCGCUCCGGCCUCCCCCUCCCUCUCUCCGCUCUCCCACCCUCGCCGCUCCGUCCUCCUCCCCGUCGCACACGCCGCCGCGGUCAAGGCCCAACCCACGGCACCCUCCCUCUCCCCCGCUCGCAAUCGACGCCCUCUCUCCCCCUCCCCCUCACUGCUGUCGUCGCCCUCCCCUCCUGCGCCACGACCUGCACCCCCCCCCCCCCCUCUUUCGCGGCGCCGCCGGGUUGCGACCCGCUGGAGGGGCUCUUGCGCCAUCGUUCCUCCGCCGCGACCCGCGCGCCCCCUCCUCUGCAGCGUCGUUGGGUCGCGACCCGCGAGAGGACUUCUACGCCGCCGCCACAACGGUGUCCCAGCGCUGGUGGUCGGGGCAGCGGCUACCUGGGCCAGCACCUCCUCGCCACGUUCGCCUCGGUCGCCGGCUUCCUCGACGUCGCGUUCACCCACCACAGCCAGGCCCCGCCGCAGCCGCUCCUCGAUGCGUACCCCUCCGUCCGCGACUUCCACAUCUCGACCCCCGCUCUAGCUUACGGCUUCGAGGCGAUAUCCACGACCUUCGGCCUGGUGCGUCUCAUUCCCAUUGAGUAGAACUUGCACUUGGUCUGUGACCAUCGUGUGCCAUUUUGUCAAACACUUCCGGGAAAUCUCCUCCUGCAUUUGCUUGAACAUUCGGCCGAUGGGUACUGGUUCAUUUGCGAAUUGCGAGUGCGUGCUACUGCUCUGAUAUUAACUUCUGCACUCUACUGCUACUGCUCUGCUCACCUGUACAAGUGAGACUUACUGAUUCAGUAAUUUGCGAUUGCCUGGUUUAUGUUACAUGGAUUACUAGCUCAUUAGUAGUACAAGAGUUCUCCGCUAAUCGAGGAGCAUGCUAACUUUGACCUGUUCAGACCCAUGUAGUUGUCAGCUGUGCUGCAAUCUCAGUUCCUCGGGCUCGGGCAUGUGAAAUGGAUCCACCCACUGCUAUACUGUUCUACAUACAUGUAAACAAUUACACUUUAUCAGUUAUUAGUACCAUGGUGACUGUCUGACUGACAUCAACAUACAGACUGCAGAUGGCUGAAUCUGUUGUUGUUUGUGGAUAUAGUCACAGUAUAAUCAAAUCUGUAUCUGCAAGUCCAUCAUCGGUAUUAAUCUCGUCUCUGUGAUGGAAUGUAGCAUCGAAGCGUCCAUAUCCGUCUGUUAACACACAUGCACUUUUUCAAAUCUACAUUUUUCUUUCUUUGUUACUCCUGUAAUGAUUCUCCGAAAGAAUCAAACAUAGUUAUUUCAGAAACAUGAUAUUUACAAUGCGGGUUGGGUUUAACUUUUGAACUGAAAUAGUUUACAACCUGAGCAUUGAGCUCCCUUUAAGCAUUGUGCUUUGGUAUGAAGCUGCAUUGUCUAUUACUUGGUAGGUGCUCAAAUACUUGCUAGGUGCUCAAAUUAUCAAGUAGACAUAACCUUUUAUGUAAACAUUUAUUUAUAAUUCCAAGUUCUAAUUUAAGCUAAUUGCAUGAAUUUAUCAUUAUAUAUCAUUACAAAUAUUGCAUGCUAAAUUGAUACUUCUAAAGAUAAUUUUUAUCACCCAUUUGUUUCUCACUCCUUUUUUACCCCCUGCAAACUGCUGAUUGCCUGGAGUGAUUGUAUUUUUUUCAACAAAGUUCAAGCAGGUUUAGCAGCUACUGCCACUUCUUUCUUAGUUUCUUCUUCAGCUCCAGCGUUUGGACCCUACCUCUAUUGCUACUGGGUACUGUUUACCUGUACAUUGAUUUUGUGUAUUGUUUCGUUUCAAGUUCAGGCUGCUGCAAAGUGGACAAGGACCUAAGCAAGGGAUGUCAUGUUACCUUUGUAGGUUCUUGACCUCCUACAUGCGUUUUCUUUCUUUAAAAAGUAUUUCAUAUUUACUUUGCUGCAUACAUGAUCCAGUAGAUAUAGCCAAAGUAUGGCUCUUCAUUUUUCUGUUCAAUGCUGAGAUUAUGAUGUGAGUUCUCUUUUGUGAAUGACAGUUACAUAGAUUGUGUGAAAUAUGGUACUUUGUAAUAGUUAGUUGGUAUAGCUAAAUCCAUUGCUUUUAAAAAUGUGUGGUAAAAAUAGGGCACCUAUGCGAUAGCCAAAUUGGUACCAGCUGGUCAUGCUGUAUAUACUAUAUCAAGAAACUAUACAUCAUCAUGUACGGAAAAACUAACGGUUGCACGCUGUCCCCUCUCAUCUGGUAUUCACAUUACUUUAAUUUUUGAGCCACACACAUUUACUUUGUCAAUAGUAAAAUUUAAGAUUAGUAAAAGGUUGCUUUCAUGUUGGGGUAUGUGACCUUUCAAGAGAUCUGAUGUCUAUUUGUGGUCAUAGGAUAGAGAAUUUAACUGGUUAUGUGUUUUAGUGGGUUUUCAGUAAUCUUCUCAAUAUGUUUUGUAUCAUAUGACCGACAAUUCUCUGCUUUCAUAAUGGUUCUGUGGUAUAUGAUGCUUCUUUCAUCUUUUGGAGUUUUGGGUGCAGUCAGCCAUAGAAGAGGUUGUACCAAUGAGAUUUUGUUGGCCAUUGUUCUGCCAAGCUUGCUGAUUAUUCCAUUUCGGUAAAGGUGAGGAUAUUCGUUAUUCUGCUGCCAAACUACCGGCAGGAUGUAGCUCUGUGUAUACUCAACUUCAGAUGUGUUUUUGGCAAAAUAAAGUUGUAUGGUUUGUGAUUUGCCUACAACCAAGCCUGCCAUCAUCUGAGAAGGCUUCAAGCAGGUUCUACAGUUCUAGCAGUACUCGUUUUGUUUACUCAAUCUGAAUUAGCAAAUUAUACGAUGUCUGACCAAAUACCAUUUUUUCAUUAGAACCUGAUGUGAUUAGCAAGUAAUCCCUGUUAUUCCAAAAGGAGAACAAUAAAAACUGAAAAGUUUAUACAACGUAUAUGCUUCCAUUGCUCUGCUCAGCAGUAGAUAAUAUGAUAAUUUACAUAUAACCUAUUGUAAUAUAUUCGUAUGCCUGCAUUUAUAUUCUUUGUCACAGUCUGAAUGAUUUUUAGUUUAUCUUUAGAGCUAAGUAUCAUACGGCUUCAAAACUGAUGUCACUUUGAAUAUGGUGCUGAGAGGAUUUCAAGACAAUGGCCAAGAGUGCUCGACUUCCGCGAUCAGAUCUUUUGGAAGGAAAGUACCAUGCCUCCCUCAACAGUCAUUCUUCAUGGUGGGAGGCAGUGAGGAAGUGAUUUAAGAAAAAUGCAUCGCUGUCUAACAUGUUGCUUAUCAAGAAUGCCUAGCAGCCCUUACAAAUCUGAAUGUAUGUCAAUAGCAGCAUGCGUCUUAUGUUGUACUUUGGUUGAAUAUUUUGAUGUGAUUAUCUGAUUGAUUGUUUGAUUUGCAUCAA